AAUGAAGAUGGCGCCGCCCAGUCUCCGCCCAGAGGAGCCGAGAGCUCGGGGCCCCACUCUUUAGCGCAGCUUCAGAGAAAAGGACUCAAUCCCUCCCGUCUCCCUGGUCCCCGGCUGCGCUCCAAGCUCACCCGGCCUGUCACCCACCGUUUCCGUCUCUGGCGCAUGGAGUUUCCAAAUCCAGAUUUCUGCCCCGCGAUCCUGUGCCACUCCUUCCAGAGAAGGAAGAGAUGUAAGGAUGGACUUAGGAAGCAGCAAGUACCCCAAAUUUCUGUUAAAGACAACCUGCUAAUGAACGUAAACCUCACAGUGUAAAAGCCGAAGUGUAGUUGAUGGAUGCCAGGAGUCAGAAAGUGAUGAACUGGAGUUCACCUGAUCCAGGCUCAGUCUGGCUAAAUGGCUUUGCUUUCCCCUGCGGGCCAAUGAGUCAACCAGAACAGCUUUGCCCCACAUCUCUUAUCCUUCUCCAGAGACCAGCAGGCUCACCAGCUGUUGAGGAUGAAAACGUUCUGGAAACCCAGCUGACCACCCCUUCUCCCUAAGAAUGGAAACAGUGGAAGGCUGACACAGCCUGGAUCCGUCGGUCAGUGUUACAAGCCAGCGGUAUCAUCAGAAUAACGAUCACUAUCCUAUCUCCGCAUCCGAACUGAUCUCAUGGAUGCGGUUGAGGAGUUACCGUAUUGGAGAUUCUCUUCAAAAGAAGGUUUUACAGCUGGUCUUCUGUUAAUAACAGCACUAGGAACAGCAGUUUACAUUUACAGAAGGCUUACCAUGUUCCUGAUACCGUUCUAAGUUCCCUAAAUUGCACUCAUCAAAGUUUUACCUCCUUAAAGCCUCUGACUUCCUUCUUAAAGUUUGAUACGACACCUGGCUAAGAUUCAAGUGUUUGGGGGUUCAACUCCUGACUCUCCCACCCACUGUUUUUGUAACGUCUGAAUCUCAGUGUUUUCAUCUAUAAAGGGAGCAUAAUAAUACUUCCUCCCCAGAACUAAAUGAAGUAAUAUAGAUUUAAAAGCACCUGAUACAUAACAAGGUCACAAUGAAUGUUGGUUUCCUU